UUACUCAAAGAGGUGGAAAUGAGUGGAUGAAAGGGACCUGUUACAACAUUCAUUGUUGAACCUUUCAUCCCUCAUAAUGAAGAGUUCCACCUUAACAUAGUCUCUGAGCGACUUGGUUGCAGCAUUAGCUUUUCAGAGAGUGGAGGGAUUGAAAUCGAAGAGAACUGGGAUAAGCUUUAUUGGGCAAUCUAGGUGAUUCUCAAGCUAGGGCCUCUCCUGACAACACUUCUGCACAUGGUUCUGAAACGACUUAGGGACAAGCUUCCCCAAACACAUCCUCUUCCUAACCCUUGGGGCAACACUCUUGGUGGUGGAAUUAUUAGAAUAUGAUUUCAAGAUCAAGGGCGUUUGAAUAGAAAUUAAAUGGUCGAUCAGGAUGGCACGGAAAUUGAGGUUAAAAGAUUGUACCAGUACAGCUAUCAAAAUCAGUAAGG